GUGAGGACGGCAAGGAGGCAGACGAAAAUCAGAGAAAAAAACCCUAAAUCCCAAAAUCAAGAAAACCUGGAUUUGAAGAGGCGAAGGAGGAAGAUUUAAGCAUCAUCGGAGCAGUCGUCACCACCGAAGGUGAGAUUUUCACUCGAUUCUCUCUUUGAAACCAUAGAUUUGCGCUUUUCUUGGGUAGUGUCGUGAGGCUAAUGUGAGAGACGGCUGAG
rnacentral:lncRNA from 1 species